ACCCCAAACCAGCCGUAACUCACUACACCCCUUGCUGCCGCCGUGGACUCGCCGGAAAACUUAGUGAUUCCGGUCGAGUCCACUCACCCGAUUCUCCAUGGUCCCCCCCUCCCUUGUCCUCUCUCUCCAUAUCAGUUAAACGCGUAACUAACCAUUCACUCUCUCGAAUCUUCCAUCCGUUUCUACUUUCCACACCUUUUGGACAGAUAUUGCAAAAAUGUUAGCCAUAGGAUCAAAAUAUUAUGGUCCAAGGUUUCCACUUGUCUAAAAUCAGUCCAUUCAAAGGUAAUUUCAGAUUUUAGAGGUUUUUGGAUUUUUAGAGGAGAAUUUUCGUGUUUCUUGGAGAAGAAGAUUGGACGUUUUGGAGCCACUAUAAAUGCUCUCAUUUUCAAAUUUCAGAGGAGAAUUUUUGGGACGGAAAAUUAGGAGGAAAAACUAGGUUUUGGUUUUGGCUUUUACUUUUCUUCUUCUGAUUUUCAUUUCAGAUUCAUAUAACCACAAAAAAAAAAGAUUUCAAUUUGUUCUAGUUUUAUUUUUAUUUCAAAUUUGAAAAUACACAAGAUAAAUUUAGUCUCUUCCUUUGAUUUUGAUUUCCAAAAUGGAGUGAAGUUGAAACAGGUGUUCGAUUGUUGGAGUUGCUGCUUGAGGUGCGGUCCAUUGGUUUUGUUCGAGUUCGACUGACGUUUUGAAUUUUACUCGUAAUGCGCUAUUCUGUCUGUUGUUGUUGUUGGAAUUUUUCGUCAAUUGAAAGCUAUUUAAGGUCCAUCUCUUUACCUUUUCUUUUAUAUUGCUAUAUAUAUGGCGGUUUAAACUAUAGUAUCAGCCCAUUUAAGAAUAGUUUGUAGAAGGAUCUAUUAUUUCUUUUGGUUUAUUAAUUAUGAGCCAUGAUUUUCAGAUUUCGUUUAGUCCUAAGUUCUCUUCAUAGAUCUCUCUUUGAUAUUUGUCAAGUUUUCUUUGGUUAGUUUUAAUCUUGUGUAGAGUCUUCUUAUUUUCUUAAAAAGGAUAAUGAAUCGUGUGUUCUCAUGUUCAUAUGUUUAGAUUGAAAGCUUCUGUUACAGCCUUAGGUUUCAUCUUAAUAAAACUUGUCUGCAUUUUUGGAAUAACUAAAGGUAGAUAAACCUUUUUCUCAUUUUUAAAUAUGAAAAGCUCUUUUUAGUGACUAAGUUCCUAAUCGUCAAAGUUCAUUUUAUUAAAAUAAACAAAUCUUCUCUUCUUCUGGUUAUAGCAUGUUCACUAAUUGACAUUCAAAGGAAGUGCAUAAAAAUUCUCUUAAAGAAAAUCAGAUGUCUGGUUCUAAAAUAGGCUGAUCUAUAGUUUGAUCAUGUUUCUUUCUGUUAUUUAUUUUGAUAAUUCAAUGUCUACUUGUAAGAUGUUUGUUUCCUUAGCUUUAUAUUUGUGACUAUAGUAAUUAGAUUCGGAAGUUCAUGAAUUAAAGAGAGAAAAAUAGAAUUUGAUACCUUGAUGACAUGUAUUGUGCUACGGGAUUCGGGCUAAAUGGAACUAAAAGAAUUGGAGCUUAAUUGUUUAUUACUUUCUUUACCUUAUAUCGCUAGAGCAUGUUUAGGCCGUCAACACUCGGGUAGGCAAAUUUUAGGUCUCGUCUUUUAUUUCACUCGAGGUGAGAGGUCGUCCCCUUUAGUUUUUAUUCAGGGGAAUGUCCUGUAUAUUUUGUAUAUAUCUUAUCCGUAUAUAGUAGCUAUAGUAUAUAGUCUCUGAAAGGCCAAAUGCUGAAGCUAUAGUAGCUCAUAGGGUACUCAGACUUCUCCCAAGGAUGAUUCUUUGUGCGGGUACCUCACACUAGUUCCAAUCACCUGCCUUGCUUCCUAUACUCUUAAUAAAAGGCCAAAUGAUGAAGCUAUAGUAGCUCAUAGGGUACUCAGACUUCUCCCAAGGAAUCAUAGGGUACUCAGACUUCUCCCAAGGAAUCAUAGGGUACUCAGACUUCUCCCAAGGAUGAUUCUUUGUGCGGGUACCUCACACUAGUUUCAAUCACCUGCCUUGCUUCCUAUACUCUUAAUACUACAAAAUAAAAAUAAAUACUAAAAAAAUAACAUAAUAACAAUAAAUAUAAAAAACUAAAUUAAAAAACUACAGUAAAGCUAGGUUGCCUCUCAACAAACGCCUAAUUUAACGUUGCAUCACGACAUGAACCACUUUGUUCCCCCAUCUCGAACUUAUGAAUUAAGCCUCUUAUUUGUCUUCAAGUUUUUUGUUAUCCUCUUUUGGUGGGGCUACAAAGAUAACCAAGUCAAAUAAUAAAAAUUUUACUCUAUACUUUUCGGCCUUUAGAUAAGGAAUGUAAUUUUUGCUUUUUGGCACAACAAAUUCAAGAAUAUAGGCACUCUCAUCUUCACUCUUUGACUCCCUUAUAGGCUCAGAUGACUCGAUUAUUAUCUUGCUAUUAAACACAAUGUGAAAAAAUGAUUAGAAUAAGGUCUAAUAUGUCCUAACUCAUAAAUUGUACUAUUAUUUAUAUCCCCAUAUAUACACACAUUCAGGUCUCCCAAAGUAAUGUUAUCUACUCCCUCAUAUGACUCUAGACCAACAUCGGCAUUCUCAAUAAAAAUAUGGUCUAAUGAUUGGUAUUCUCGUUUUAGCUUCUCAUUUUGGUUUAGAAGAUUUUUUUUCGCUUCACACAAUUCAUCAUUACAUUGUUGGGCGUUACACGCAUCAACUCAAUUAUGAAGAUGUAACGACCCAACCGGUUGUUUUGAGAGUCGUAGCCCCAUUUCUCCAUUUUGUAUUUCAUUUGUGUUCUUCAGCUAUAUUAUGUCUUACUGGAUCAGUUUAUUCGGGUCCGGAGUUGUUUUGGAGUGAAUUGAGACACUAAGUUUCUUAGCAGAAGGUUUAAGUUAGAAAAGUUGACCGGAUAUUGAUUUAUGUGUAAACGACCUCAAGUUUGAAUUUUGAUGGUCCCGUUAGCUUUGUUAGGUGAUUUUGGAUUUAGGAGCACGUCCGAAUGUGAUUUGGAGGUCCGUGGUAGAAUUAGGCUUGAAUUGGCAAAAGUUAGAAUUUUAGCGAUUUUUGCCGGCAGCGAAAAUUUUGAUAUCGGGGUCGGAUUAGAUUUUCGGAAGUUGGAGUAGGUUCAUGUUGUCAUUUCUGACUUGUGUGAAAUAUUUGAGGUCAUUUAGACGUGGAUAGGUAGGUUUCAGUAUCGUUUGUGGAAUUUGGAAGUUUAGAAGUUCUUAGGCUUGAAUCUGAGUGUUAUUGGGUGAUUCGAAGGUUCGACUAAGUUUGUAUGGGGUUAUAUAACCUGUUGGUAUGUUUGGUUGAGGUCCCGAGGGCCUCAGAGCAAUUUCGGGUAGUUAUCGGAGAGUUUGGAGUUGGAAAAAUGCAGCUGAAGCAGCUGCUGCUGGUGUUUGGCACCUGUGGAGUGGGAACCGCAGGUGCGAGGUCGCAGAAGCGGGUUGAGAGGCGCAAAUGCGCAGUUGGAUUGCAGGUGCAGCUUGGUCCCCGCAUCUGCAAUGGCCGCAGAUGCGGUCAGGUGAUCGCAGGAGCGGAGCCAGCCUUUUUAAUGAAUCUCCGCAGAAGCGGAGCCCUGCUAGCAAAUGCGGUUUAGCUAGGCAGAAAACCCCAGCUCGAGGUUCUAUUCUCCAUUUUCAAUUUUGGACUUGAGGAACUCAGGAAAGAGGCAAUUUUUUGAAGGAUUUCAAGAGGCAAUGUUGGGGUAAGUGAUGCUAACCCACAAUGGUAUAAAUUUCAUGAAUCCAUAGCUUUAUUCAUCAUAUAAUGAGGGAUUUGAGCUAGAAAUUUUGGGAUUUAGGGCUUGAGAAUUGGAGAGUGAAGUUUGAGGAUUUGAUUGACCAAAUUAGGUCGAUUUUGAUAAAUUUGGUAUGGUUAGACUAGUGAGUGAAUGAGAUUUCGAGUUUUGUGACUUUUGUCAUAUUUCGAGACGUGGGCCCAGGGGCCGGGUUUGAGCUAAUUUCGGGUUUUGGCUAUAAUUUGGUAUUUUUCUUGUGGAAUUAAUUCCUUUAGACUAUAUUGAUCGCAUUGUAUAUCUUGUGGCUAGAUUCAGGACGUUUGGAGACCGAUUUGAGAGGCAAAGGCGUCGCGGAGUAGGAUUUUGGCUUGGUUUGAGGUAAGUAACGCUUCCAAACUUGGUUCUGAGGGUUUGAAACCCCAAACUACGUGUUAUGUGAUUAGUAUUGAGGUGACGCACAUGCCAAGUGACGAGCAUGUGGGCGUGCACCGUGAGAAAUGUGACCUGGGUGAUUCCAUGGCACCGUUUAGUGACUUUAUCAUGUUGAUAUCCAUGUUUUCUUCACGUGAUAAAGUAUUCGAGCUGUAAAUCAUGCUAGAUAUCAUGUUUAGGCUUUGUGCCGGUAUUGUUGGACCCUUACGAUCGUUUCUUGCUGUCGUCUCACUAGUUUUCUUUUAAUACUCCAUACUCAGUCAUGAUCAUGCAUUUUUAUAUCAUAUCUCAGUCUCAAUUAUUUAUUCAUUCUUCAUAUCAUUGUUCCGGGUUGUUUUCAUGAUAUUGUGAGCCCGUGGUGAGACUAGAGAGGUUGAUGACUGAGUGAGGUCGAGAGCCUGGUUAUGAGUAAUAGUUAUGGGAUCGGGUUGCAUGCCGCAACGAUUAUAUUGAUGAUUAUGAUAGCGCUUGGGCUGUAGGAGCCCCUCCAGAGUCUGUAACAUACCCCCAGUGAGCGCGAAUGAUAUUAUUGAGGGAUGGAUUUCCCUGGACAUGGAUUUGUCCGAAGUACUUAAUACCUGGAGAUGGAUUUCUCCACAGGGUUGGAUUGCCCUUUGUCCUCGGUGCUGGGUGACUUACAGUCAGUGUUGUAUAUGUUCUAGGAUGGAUUUCCCUGGGCCGGAUGGCCAUAUACAGUACCGAGUGGUUGGGCACUUGAGAGUGAAAGUACAUGGUGCAUUUUAUACAUUCUGUGCAUUGAUACUUAGAGAUUUGCUAAGUUGUAUACCUUACAUUAUUCAAAUAUGUAUUUACUUUACUGCUUUGAGCUGUAUAUUUGACUUGAAAGCAUGCCUUCAUCUCUGCUCAUUUACUUCUGUUUUACCUGUUGAGGUCAAGUCCGUCACUACCUUUCAGUCCAACGUUUGAACUUGUUACUUGCUGAGUUGGUGUACUCACGUUACUACCGGUCGUAGCAGCUUUUGCUGAUCUAGGUUCCAGAGUUUGGAGACUGAUCUAGACGCUCAUGUACUCAGUAACACCCUGGUUUUGGGCUGGAUUGUAUCACUUUGGGAUUUUUCUGAUGUUUUAAACAGUUUUCUUUUAUGUUAAAUGCUUCCGUUAAGUUUUUCAAAUUUAUAGUUGUUGUGUUGAGUUUUAUUGAGAGAGGCUGGCCUUGUUCCACGAUAGGCGCCAUCACGACGGUAGAGUUUGGGUCGUGACAAGUUGGCAUCAGAGCGUAGGUUACAUAGGUCUCACGAGUCAUGUGCGAGUUUAGUAGAGUCUCGCAUAUCUGUAUGGAGAGGUCUGUACUUAUCUUCGGGAGGCUGCAGAACUCUUAGGAAACUUCACAUUCUUGAAUUCUUAUUGUGCAGAUCUAUUGAUACUAGUAACUAAACUUCUAUUAUUUUGUUCUCUCAUAGAUGGUGAAGACACGUGCUACUUGGCAGGACGGACAACCACCA
rnacentral:lncRNA from 1 species